rnacentral:rRNA from 1 species
CGCACGAGCGCACCCUUGCCCUAUGUUGCCAGCGGGUUAUGCCGGGGACUCAUGGGGAACUGCCGGUGAUAAACCGGAGGAAGGUGGGGACGACGUCAAGUCAUCAUGGCCCUUACGCCCAGGGCUACACACGAGCUACAAUGGCCGGUACAAAGGGCUGCAAUCCCGCGAGGGGGAGCGAAUCCCAAAAAGCCGGUCUAAGUUCGGAUUGUAGUCUGCAACUCGACUGCAUGAAGUCGGAAUCGCUAGUAAUCGUGUAUCAGCAACGACACGGUGAAUACGUUCCCGGGCCUUGUACGCACCGCCCGUCAAGCCAUGGAAGCCGGGAGUGCCCGAAGUCCGUGAUCCAACUUCGUGAGGAAGCGGCCGAAGGUAAGUUCGGUGACUGGGGCUAAGUCGUAACAAGGUAGCCGUAGGGGAACCUGCGGCUGGAUCACCUCCUUU